rnacentral:rRNA from 1 species
UAGAAAGAUUCCGGUUGAUCCUGCCGGAGAUGACCGUUAUCAGGGUUCGAUUUAGCCAUGCGUGGCGCGAGCUAUUUGGGCUCGCCAUACUGCUGAGUAACACGUAGUUAACCUGCCCUAAGGUGGAGAAUAAUCUCGGGAAACUGAGGCUAAUGCUCCAUAGCCAAUGGAUACUGGAAUGUUCCAUUGGCCAAAGCCACGGCGCCUUAGGAUGGGACUGCGGCGUAUCAGGUAGUUUUCAGGGUAAAAACCUGAAAAGCCGAUAACGCGUAGGGGCCAUGAGAGUGGAAGCCUCCAGAUGCCUUCUGAGACAUGAAGGCAGGGCCUACGGGUCGCAGCAGGCGCGAAAACUUUCCAAUGCAUUAGCGUGUGAGAGGGGAACCUUGAGUGAUACGGCUAUGCCGUAUCUUUUGCCAAGUCUAGCCAGCUUGGCGAAUAAGAGGUGGGCAAGACGGGUGCCGGCCGCCGCGGUAACACCCGCGCCUCGAAUGGUCAUCACGAUUAUUGGGUCUAGAGCGUCCGUAGCCGGUUGUGCAAGUCUCUGGUGAAAUCUGGCAGCAAACUGUCAGGCGCGCUGGAGAUACUACACGACUUGGGAUUGGGAAAGGGCUGAGGUAUUCGGCGUGUAGGGGUUAAAUCCUUUAAUCCGCCGAGGACCACCUGUGGCGAAGGCGUCAGCCUAGAACAAGUCCGACGGUGAGGGACGAAAGCGUGGGGAGCGAUUGGGAUUAGAUACCCCAGUAGUCCACGCUGUAAACAAUUCCCGUUUGGUGUGGCAUGUCUUACGAGGACAUGCCGUGCCGGAGCGUAGGUGUUAAACGGGCCACCUGGGGAGUACGGUCGCAAGACUGAAACUUAAGGGAAUUGGCGGGGGAGCACACAAGGGGUGGAGGCUGCGGUUCAA